rnacentral:rRNA from 1 species
GAUGAACGCUGGCGGCGUGCCUAAUACAUGCAAGUCGAGCGAACAGACGAGGAUUUUGCUCCUCUGACGUUAGCGGCGGACGGGUGAGUCCCACGUGGAUAACCUACCUAUAAGACUGGUAUAACUAUGGGAAACCUGCGCUACUACCGGAUAAUUUAUUGACCCGCAUGGUGCCAUAGUGAAAGUCGGUUUUGCUGUCACUUAUAGAUGGAUCCGCGCCGCAUUAGCUAGUUGUUAAGGUAGCGGCCUACCAACGCAACGAUGGGUAGCCGACCUGAGAGGGUGAUCGAGCAGACGGGAACAGAGAAAGGGUCCAGACUCCGACGCUAGGCAGCAGUAGAGAAUCUUCCGCGAUGGGCGAGAGCCUGACGGAGCAAAGCCGCGGGAGUGAUGACGGUCUUCGGAUGGUAAAACUCUGUUAUUAGUGAAGAACAAAUGUGUAAGUAACUAUGCACGUCUUGACGGUACCUAAACAGAAAGCCACGGCUAACUACGUG